UGCACUUUUUGACCUAGUUUGGCCUCACUUUGGGAACAGACAUUCAAAAAAGUGCAAAUAAAAACUACCUUCUUUUGCAACCCACAACGAAUUGUGAAGUAUGAGUUGUGUUACUUAUGGGAAGGGACAUA